rnacentral:rRNA from 1 species
CUCCCAGACUCCUACGGGAGGCAGCAGUGGGGAAUAUUGCACAAUGGGGGGAACCCUGAUGCAGCAACGCCGCGUGAAGGAAGAAGUAAUUCGUUAUGUAAACUUCUAUCGACAGGGAAGAAAGAAAUGACGGUACCUGAGUAAGAAGCCCCGGCUAACUACGUGCCAGCAGCCGCGGUAAUACGUAGGGGGCAAGCGUUAUCCGGAAUUACUGGGUGUAAAGGGAGCGUAGACGGUGAAGUAAGUCUGGAGUGAAAGGCGGGGGCCCAACCCCCGGACUGCUCUGGAAACUAUUUGACUGGAGUGCAGGAGAGGUAAGCGGAAUUCCUAGUGUAGCGGUGAAAUGCGUAGAUAUUAGGAGGAACACCAGUGGCGAAGGCGGCUUACUGGACUGUAACUGACGUUGAGGCUCGAAAGCGUGGGGAGCAAACAGGAUUAGAUACCCUCGUAACA